AUCUGUUGGCAAAUGAACAUAAGUUACAGGAAUCCAGACUGUAGGAAUCUAUUCAUGUAUCUUUAUGAAGAACCCUGUAAACAAUCCAAACAGACUCUGAAGAAUUAUGCAAACUUCACCUCUCAAUCUACAAUGUUGUCAGAUGCCUGAACUUUUUCUGUACUGUCAAAACUCCCACACAAGGGGAUUGGGAAUCAGGAUUCCUGGGUUCUCCUCCCACCUUUGCCACUCACUUAUUUUGUGACUUCAGUAUCCACGACCUUAUCCCCUAUCUACUUGCCUGACCAGGUCUGCAUCACAAAACCUGUCUAACUGACACUGCAGGAUGAGUGAGCUAACACCUCCGCCCCUCUGAAUGUGUUCUUCCUUACGGAACCAGAACCAAGAAGGACAAAUCUAGAGGCGAAGUAGCCAUUCUGUUCUUUUCUGGGUCCAACAGCAGAAAAAGCUCACUUGAGAAAAUGGAUCAUCUCCCAGCUCUCUCAAUGCUCAGCCAAAAAUCAACCCCUGGAUGGAGAGCAGCCGGCUAAAGCUGAACCCUGACAGGACCACUGAAGUGAUGAUGGCAGGAAGUGGCAAGCACUUUGCAGAACUUGCCUCCUCUCUCAUCCCCCGCUCUCAAGAGUGUCUGUUACCAGGAGGCUAUGGGUUGAUAUGGUUGUGGAUUCCUCAAUGCUACUGGAUACUCAAAUAGCCAUGGUGGCAAAAAACACUCACUUUCUUCUGUGAUGAGCAGGAGAUUGUGUUCCUUCCUCCCAGACACAGCCCUGACUACAGUGACCCACACUCUGGUGACCUCCAGGCUUGAUCAUUGCAACUCAUUACAUAUAGGAAUGAUGCUCCAGCGGUGCAAAACAUAGCAACCCCUCCGCUUAGCAGUGCAGGUCAUCAUGACCGUAUAAAAUCACUCAGCUCUCUGCAGUGGCUCCUCAAGGUCUCUUUCCUGAUAUUCAAAGCCCUGUAUAAGAGUGGCCCAAUCCAUCUGAGACAUCAUUUCUCCUUCAGUGACCAUAACUUCUUAUGGCAUCUACGUCCCACUAGUAUAAUGAAUAUACAGACCACAGAGGGAGGCUUGAAAGGGUGGAAAAGAGAACUUUCACGGGAGCUGGGCCUAAACCAGGGAACCCAGCCCUGAAAGAAAUAAGAAAGACUACAGGUCUCUCCAUGUCCAGAACUAAAUGCAAAAAUGAACUCUUCCAUUUAGCUUUCCCAUGAUCAGUUCAUCUCUCUCAUACGCAAACACACCAAAAAACGACUAUAAAUAAAUCAAGCUAUUUCUCCUACAGGCUGGAAAGGGACAGAGAGAGAUUGUUAUUGCUGUUUCUGUUCUUAAAUAAUUGGGAAGUAUUCAGAUACUAUGGUGAAGACGGCUGUAUACGUACAAGAUAGAUAUAUAAUCUUGCUGUGCUUGUCACUUUGCCUCCCUAUGCCUCUGUUUCCCCAUCUUUAAAAUAGGAAUAAAAACCUUUCAAAAUCACAUGUAGUUCCUUAAAUAAAAAGUAUUACAUACGUGCAAUUAAUGUACAUUAUUAUUCCCCCACCAGGAAGGACACCAUCUGAUGCUAAUCAUACAGUACACUGGCUUUUAGUGUCUCACUCCCCACCAGUCUCUCCACCCAGUAACAAAGGAAUGUUACUAGCUCAGUGGGGAAAGGGUAGGGGGGGAAAUGAAAACACAACUUCAGACCCCUGCUGCUGCAGACCAGGCCAGCCUCUCAGACACACACGUCUAUGGUCUGUAGUUAGAAAUCAGAGAAGAGGAAACAAUACUUAGACAAAUUGCUGCCAAAGUUUAAGAACUUAAAUGUGUCAGAGUGAACAACAAAUCCAUUUGUUUUUGAUUUCCCACCCAAAAUAUCUAAUCCUUUUGCUAAAACCUGGCUUUAACAUUUAGCCCCAGACUCAGAGUGACCCUGAAGCCUGCAAACAGACAGCUCGUGUUAUGUAUAACUGCAUAGAAGCAGCAGCAUAUUUCAACAAGCGGGUUUUGGUUCUUUUAGCUACUUUUUGAAAAGACAUCAGCCCCUGAAAAAGAAAGAACGUUAAACUAAACUCACCUAUUUGGUUUACGUGCUUUAGAGAGAGAGAGAACAAACUCUCCCGAGGAGCUGAGAUGAAGGACGAACAGAAUCCAUGUGUUUUUCUUCCAUGCAGAUCACAGAUCAUUUAUUUUCUUUUACAUGUUAAAUUUUAACUUUUGUCCCAAGGCUUCUGACUAGAAAGCAGGAGAGGAGCCUUUCACCUUCCACCACAGCAGCAGCACUGAAAUACCUGCCUGCUAAGCCCUGGAGUUACCUAACAGCUUUUGUCUGGUUUGGAAUUGCUUCCCCCGAAACCAUUUUAGUCUCAUCUCUGGCAUCUAAAAAGAAAUGUCAAAAAUGUGGGCUCGCUGGUUUUCUAGCCUCUCCUGGCUGUAGUGUGAGAAAGGGCGUGAGCAAGAGUGGGCUGGGCCUGGAAUGGGAUGAGCCAUCACUUAAUACUCACUGUCAAGAGGGAGGUCCUUUUUCCACAGGUCUUUCAAUGAGGGAAUAGGUCCCAGAUCCCAGGUCUUGUGAGAUGUAAUCAUGGCAUAGGGUUCCAAAGCAGAUCGACACCUCAAGGCCUGGGAAUAAACACAAGCAAAGAUAUUCCAGCUGCAGGAAAUUAGCAGUCCAGGAUGAGAUACUGUAGCAAGCCAUGCAAGUAGCAAUGUCCCCAACUUGAUUCCUACUCCCACACAGAUCUGGAACGAUUCAGAUUUGAACACUGGGAAUUUGUCCACAUGAGAAAUGCUGACCUAUACAAAGUAGAUGUUACACACACUGUAUCUGUAAUUAACUUAAUAAUUCCUGUUUGCAAUGUUAUUGUAGCUGUUUUUCUUCCUUCUUCAUGUUGUGAUAUUUCCAUUCUAAGUGCCAAAAUUCCAUAGCUUCCAUAAUUGUUUGCAAUGUUGUUUACCCACGUUGUUUUGGUUAAUAAUUCCUGUAUCAUUUCCAGCUUCUUCCACUACAACAUUUGAUUUUAUAACUUUUACAACUGUAAGUUUUUCAGGGUAGGAAUCAUGUCGUCCUAUGAGUCUGUAGAUAACCUAGUACAAUAGCCAGUAGAUAAGCCCCAGUCUCUUACCUGUUCUCCUGUGCAUCACGCAUCACACUCUUAUUGCACUGCUGUGAUCUUGAUUGGGGCCUUCAAAAGUGCUACCACCAUACAACGAAUAGCAAAGAUAUUCAGGGUCUUUGUUCAGUUGUUGAGCCUGAUUCUCAUCUUGCACCAGUGUUUCCACCAGUGGACUUCAGUGGAAUUACUUGAUUUAAACCUUCAUAACUUAGAUUAGAAUGAGACCUAGUGCAUCCCACAAUCAGGCCUCCACAGGAUGAGAACCAUAGACCACAGAGGCUGGAAGCAGACUGGGGAAGAGAGAGACUCCUAUCCAAGCUGCUUUACAAAGUGGCAUGUGCCACCUGGAUGCCCAGGCCUUCCAUCUCCACUGCGCCUCACUCAUCUGGAAAGAGACUCCCUCAUUUGGGAUUAAACUGAGAGGAAGU